UAUCCCAAAGCUGCGUGGGCCAUCUGCGGAGCGCGUCGGGGCUUUGUCGGGUGUCAUUUUCAUCGGUUCCGCGUGUACCCUCGGUGUUCGCUUGUUUGUUUGGGGUGGGGGUUUUACGAGCCCCGCGUCUGGGGACUCGGCGGUGCCACAGUCCAAACCGUCCCGGCGGUGUCCCCCGGCCGCCCCUCUCCACGCCCCGCCGCCCAACUCCGUGUCUCAGGGCAGUGCCCGAACCCACAGCCCCCCGCCCUCCCCCGUGCCCUCCGUUCGGCUGCGAACUUUCCGCCGGGGUGAGUUCUCCUUUAAGAAAAGGCACGGCUCCUUCUGCAUACUGAACGCUGUUUGUCUGCAGCGCGCAGAUGACGCGGGGCCGGAGCGGGACGGCUGGGGCGUAAAUCAACGCGCUCCGCAAUGGGCCCAGCGGGGAACCCCGUGCCAUCGCCCCAUUUCGCCAUCCGAAGUGCGGUGCGGUGGCGGCGUGCCUUCAAAUUGAGUCGCUUCUCGGUCCGCACUGGGAAAAGCAGACAUGUGUCCUCAAUUGUGUGGUAUGAAAAACCCGACUAGCUGCCGCUUUAAACACACUUUCCAAGAAAGGGGAGAGAGGAGGCUGCGGGUGGGGAGGGGGACGCUCGGGUGUCCCCCCCUUCACCCCCCCCCCGGCUUCAUGAGGCUCCGGAGAGCGGCACAGCCCUGUCCCGGUGCCCACGUCGAGGUGCGCAGAGCCUCUGCUGAAGACACCGAAUCGCCCUCACCCUGUGCCUGCGGACAGACCGUGGUGGAGAGCAGCGGCAGGAUCCAACCACGCACUUUCUACCUGCAAGGGAGCAAAGUGUACGACCCCCCACUCCCACCCCGUAUCGAACACAACCAUAACUCAAUGCAAACUGUGGGGAGAGGCGUUUUCCACGUGGCAGCAGAUGAUAGAGGAGAUGUCCCACUCCUCUCGGCUGUUCAUACCGCGUGGGGUCGUUCCCUCUGGCUACGGCAUUGCUGUCCUCGCAGAGGUGCAGGAAACGGAUUCCCACCUUUGGUUUCCCACCAAAGCGAAUUGCUUUUGGCGCAGCCCUCAUCCUAACCAACUUUCUCCCUGUGUUUAUUUCUUCGGUUGCAGCCGGGAAAAUAAAAUAAAAUUUAAUAUAAAAUAAAAUAAAACUGAAACGUC